CCAGCCCACACAACAACACAACACACAACACCAUACACCCAAACACACACACACACAACACAACACACACACACAACACACACACAUCAUCCACACACCCCACACACACACACACAGCCACACCCACACACACACCCAGCUUUCACACAUUAUACGCAGCAGAUCCACUCCACCCCACAUCCACUUAUUGCAGCACAAGCCUCCACAGCCUUUGCCAGUCGCACACCGCGAGGGUGACACGGUCACAACUUGGCACUAACAUACACACCCAGACUUCCACGGGAGGCAGCAAGUGGGGAAAAUUGCACACAGGGCGAAAGCAUGAUGCACACACCCCGCAUCAGGGCAGACGGCCUUCGGGUUGUAAACCUCCUUCGAUCAUGGUCAAGCAGCAGCUUUGGGUUGUGGUGAGGGUAGUGGGUAAAGAAGCGCCGGCUAACUAAGUGCCAGCAGCCGCGGUAAUACGUAGGGCGCGAGCGUUGUCCGGAAUUAUUGGGCGUAAAGGGCUUGUAGGCGGUUGGUCGCGUUUGCCGUGAAAUACUCUGGCUUAACCGGGGGCGUGCGGUGGGUACGGGCUGACUUGAGUGCGGUAGGGGAGACUGGAACUCCUGGUGUAACGGUGGAAUGCGCAGAUAUCAGGAAGAACACCGGUGGCGAAGGCGGGUCUCUGGGCCGUUACUGACGCUGAGGAGCGAAAGCGUGGGGAGCGAACAGG
rnacentral:rRNA from 1 species